rnacentral:rRNA from 1 species
UGAGCUGGGGGUGGCCGCAGAGACCAGCGAGAAGCGACUGUUUACUAAAAACACAGGUCCGUGCGAAGCCGUAAGGCGAUGUAUACGGACUGACGCCUGCCCGGUGCUGGAACGUUAAGGGGACCGGUUAGCUGCCUUUCGGGGUGGCGAAGCUGAGAACUUAAGCGCCAGUAAACGGCGGUGGUAACUAUAACCAUCCUAAGGUAGCGAAAUUCCUUGUCGGGUAAGUUCCGACCUGCACGAAUGGCGUAACGACUUCUCGACUGUCUCAACCAUAGGCCCGGUGAAAUUGCACUACGAGUAAAGAUGCUCGUUUCGCGCAGCAGGACGGAAAGACCCCGGGACCUUUACUAUAGUUUGAUAUUGGUGUUCGGUUCGGCUUGUGUAGGAUAGGUGGGAGACUUUGAAGCGGCCACGCCAGUGGUUGUGGAGUCGUCGUUGAAAUACCACUCUGGUCGUGCUGGAUGUCUAACCUGGGUCCGUGAUCCGGAUCAGGGACAGUGUCUGAUGGGUAGUUUAACUGGGGCGGUUGCCUCCUAAAGAGUAACGGAGGCGCCCAAAGGUUCCCUCAGCCUGGUUGGUAAUCAGGUGUUGAGUGUAAGUGCACAAGGGAGCUUGACUGUGAGACCGACGGGUCGAGCAGGGACGAAAGUCGGGACUAGUGAUCCGGCAGUGGCUUGUGGAAGCGCUGUCGCUCAACGGAUAAAAGGUACCCCGGGGAUAACAGGCUGAUCUUCCCCAAGAGUCCAUAUCGACGGGAUGGUUUGGCACCUCGAUGUCGGCUCGUCGCAUCCUGGGGCUGGAGUCGGUCCCAAGGGUUGGGCUGUUCGCCCAUUAAAGCGGUACGCGAGCUGGGUUUAGAACGUCGUGAGACAGUUCGGUCCCUAUCCGCUGUGCGCGUAGGAAUAUUGAGAAGGGCUGUCCCUAGUACGAGAGGACCGGGACGGACGAACCUCUGGUGUGCCAGUUGUCCUGCCAAGGGCAUGGCUGGUUGGCUACGUUCGGAAAGGAUAACCGCUGAAAGCAUCUAAGCGGGAAGCCUGCUUCGAGAUGAGUAUUCCCACC